rnacentral:rRNA from 1 species
UACGUAGGACCCAAGCGUUAUCCGGAGUGACUGGGCGUAAAGAGUUGCGUAGGCGGCUUAUUAAGCAGAUAGUGAAAGCAGGUGGCUCAACCAUACUGACUAUUAUCUGAACUGGUAAGCUCGAGAAUGGUAGAGGUGAUUGGAAUUUCUAGUGUAGGGGUAAUAUCCGUAGAUAUUAGAAGGAACACCAAUGGCGUAGGCAGAUCACUGGACCAUUUCUGACGCUGAGGCACGAAAGCGUGGGGAGCGAACCGG